rnacentral:misc_RNA from 1 species
UGAAUAUUUUUAUUUUAUUAUUUUUUGUCAGAUUUAUGUAUUUUUGACCUUAUUUAUGUGUUUUGGGCCUUAGGUAGGAGUGCAGCCCACUCCAGCAUUUUAUUAGUUUUUAGAGUUUUUUUUUUUUUUUUUUNNNNNNNNNNNAGGGAUUUAGGGUUUCAACCGCAUAUAUAAAGCUAACUUAAUACUUUUUAAGUUGAACAUUACUUUUGCUAAAAUUAAUACAAGAGAAGGAUUUUUCCUAAAUUCUUUCUUGAACUAAAAUAAAUUC